rfam:Cathartes aura contig91374, whole genome shotgun sequence.
CACACUUCCCAGCUGUUGGCUAAGAUCAACUGCAUCAUCUUUUCUUAUCACUUCAAUAUCUGAUACAUCCUCAGCUUGAAGAUUUUAUAUUAAAUGGAUUUGGAGGGCACGGGAAGGAGUAACUGCUUCUUCCAUCCACUCCAUGCAUCAACUCGAAACUGCAGUGCUUCCAGGUACCGUGGCCGCAUC